rnacentral:rRNA from 1 species
AGAGUUUGAUCCUGGCUCAGAUUGAACGCUGGCGGCAUGCCUAACACAUGCAAGUCGAACGGCAGCACAGCAGUAGCAAUACUGUGGGUGGCGAGUGGCGGACGGGUGAGGAAUACAUCGGGACCUGCCCAGACGUGGGGGAUAACGUAGGGAAACUUACGCUAAUACCGCAUACGUCCUACGGGAGAAAGCGGGGGAUCUUCGGACCUCGCGCGGUUGGAUGGACCGAUGUUCGAUUAGCUAGUUGGUGGGGUAAAGGCUCACCAAGGCGACGAUCGAUAGCUGGUCUGAGAGGAUGAUCAGCCACACUGGGGCUGAGACACGGCCCAGACUCCUACGGGAGGCAGCAGUGGGGAAUAUUGGACAAUGGGCGCAAGCCUGAUCCAGCAAUGCCGCGUGUGUGAAGAAGGCCUUCGGGUUGUAAAGCACUUUUAUCAGGAGCGAAAUACCACGGGUUAAUACCCUAUGGGGCUGACGGUACCUGAGGAAUAAGCACCGGCUAACUUCGUGCCAGCAGCCGCGGUAAUACGAAGGGUGCAAGCGUUAAUCGGAAUUACUGGGCGUAAAGCGUGCGUAGGCGGUGAUUUAAGUCUGCUGUGAAAUCCCCGGGCUCAACCUGGGAAUGGCAGUGGAUACUGGAUCGCUAGAGUGUGAUAGAGGAUGGUGGAAUUCCCGGUGUAGCGGUGAAAUGCGUAGAGAUCGGGAGGAACAUCAGUGGCGAAGGCGGCCAUCUGGAUCAACACUGACGCUGAGGCACGAAAGCGUGGGGAGCAAACAGGAUUAGAUACCCNNGUAGUCC